UACGUAGGGUGCGAGCGUUAAUCGGAAUUACUGGGCGUAAAGGGUGCGCAGGCGGUUCUGCAAGUCAGGCGUGAAAGCCCCGGGCUUAACCUGGGAAUGGCGCUUGAAACUACAGGACUGGAGUAUGGCAGAGGGAGGUGGAAUUCCACGUGUAGCGGUGAAAUGCGUAGAGAUGUGGAGGAACACCGAUGGCGAAGGCAGCCUUCUGGGCCAAUACUGACGCUCAUGCACGAAAGCGUGGGGAGCAAACAGG
rnacentral:rRNA from 1 species